rnacentral:rRNA from 1 species
AGUGAACGCUGGCGGUAGGCCUAACACAUGCAAGUCGAACGGCAGCACAGUAAGAGCUUGCUCUUACGGGUGGCGAGUGGCGGACGGGUGCUGAAUACAUCGGAAUCUACUUUUUCGUGGGGGAUAACGUAGGGAAACUUACGCUAAUACCGCAUACGACCUACGUGUGAAAGCAGGGGAUCUUCCGACCUUACGCGAUUGAAUGUGCCGAUGUCGGAUUUGCUAGUUGGCGGGGUAACGGCCCACCAAGGCGACGAUCCGUAGCUGGGCUGAGAGGAUGGUCAAGUACCACUGAAAUUAAGACCGGUCCAGACCCCUUAGGGAAGGAACAGGGGGGAAUUUUUGAACAUGGGCGCAAGCCUGAUCCAGCCAUAGCGGGUGGGGGGAAGAGGCCCUCCGGUUGGAAAACCCUUUUGUUGGGAAAGAAAGGCAGCAGGUUAAUAACCCGCUGGUCUGACGGUACCCAAAGGAUAAGCACCGGCUAACUUCGUG